rnacentral:rRNA from 1 species
CCUACGGGAGGCAGCAGUGGGGAAUAUUGCGCAAUGGGCGAAAGCCUGACGCAGCGACGCCGCGUGAGGGAUGAAGGUCUUCGGAUCGUAAACCUCUGUCUGCAGGGACGAACGGUCACUGUGCUAAUCCGCAGUGAAUUGACGGUACCUGCAAAGGAAGCACCGGCUAACUCCGUGCCAGCAGCCGCGGUAAUACGGAGGGUGCGAGCGUUAAUCGGAAUUACUGGGCGUAAAGCGCUCGUAGGCGGUAUGUCAAGUCAAGGGUGAAAUCCGCGCGCUGAACGUGGGAACUGCCUUUGAAACUGGCAAGAUGGAGUGUGUGGGAGGAUAGUGGA